rnacentral:rRNA from 1 species
UACGUAGGCAGCGAGCGUUUGUUCGGAGUUACUGGGCGUAAAGGGUGUGUAGGCGGUCGUUUAAGUUUGGUGUGAAAUCUCCCGGCUACAACCGGGAGGGUGCGCCGAACUACUGAAUGACUUGGAGUGCGGGAGAGGUGAGUGGAAUUCCGUGGUGUAGCGGUGAAAUGCGUAGAUAUCAGGAGGAACACCGGUGGUGUAGACGGCUCACUGGACCGUAACUGACGCUGGAGACACGAAAGCGUGGGUAGCAAACAGG